ensembl:lncRNA
AGUCAACAGAAACAGCAGGUCGAGGGUUAGAUACCUGGCUGUCAGAACCCCGGAAAAGAAGAUUUUAUGCCCAACAGGAGAACUACAGAAGGAGGUUACACACAAGAUUUGGCCAGGAGACUGGGUCUGGGUCCAAUCACUAAAGAUAACGGACUGGAAGCAGCCACGGUGGGAGGGGCCAUACCAAGUGCUCCUGGUGACAGCCUUCGCGGUGAGAAUAGUUGAAAGAGCUACCUGGGUUCAUAUCACACAUUGCAAGAGGGUAAGACACAUUGGCACUGUCGAACAAUCACAGAGUUAGGAGAAGAACCGAAUACCAAUAAGGUUCAAGGGUUAUCUCUCUAACGAAAAUUCCCUAACCCUCCCUAUCCUCCCUGUGUGCGUUCAUAGAAGUGAAAGUAUGGGCUGGCCUCUAGCUGAUGAUAUGUUCUCCGGGAAGGGGUGGGGCUUUACAGGAGUGCUGGUCGUUCUGAGCUGUCUGAUUGUGGGAGCCAUAUUCCUA